GAACAAUUCAACAUUGAUUCCGAUAGCGAUGAAGACGACUGUGCCUACGUGAAUUGUCACCCUGAAGAUGGACUGUUGAACAGUAGGAUGUAGUGAUGACGAUAACUAUGUGAAUUGUGACGACUGUGGAGAACAAGACUACACAAAUUGUUUACCCAACGAUGAACAAU